UGAGUACGAGCUGCUACGGCAGCGAAGUGGAUGAUGUCAAGCUUCCAAGAAAAGCCCUAUACCCGUUAAGGCAUGACGGCCUGUACCCGAAACCGACACAGGUGGGGUGGUAGAGAAUACCGAGGGGCGCGAGAUAACUCUCUCUAAGGAACUCGGCAAAAUGGCCCCGUAACUUCGGGAGAAGGGGUGCCACCGCGAGGUGGUCGCAGUGAAGAGGCCCAGGCGACUGUUUACCAAAAACACAGGUCUCCGCUAAGUCGCAAGACGAUGUAUGGGGGCUGACGCCUGCCCAGUGCCGGAAGGUUAAGGAAGCCGGUCAGCGUAAGCGAAGCUGGCGACUGAAGCCCCGGUGAACGGCGGCCGUAACUAUAACGGUCCUAAGGUAGCGAAAUCCCUUGUCGGGUAAGUUCCGACCCGCACGAAAGGCGUAACGAUCUGGGCGCUGUCUCGGAGAGAGGCUCGGCGAAAUAGAAUUGUCUGUGAAGAUGCGGACUACGUGCACCCGGACAGAAGACCCUAUGAAGCUUUACUGUAGCUUGGUAUUGUGCUCGGGCUCUGAAUGCGCAGGAUAGGUGGGAGGCUUUGAUCCAUUGCUUGUGGGUGAUGGUGAGUCACUGGUGAGAUACCACUCUUUCAGAGCUAGGGUUCUAACGGUCACCCGUUAUCCGGGGACCGGACAGUAUCAGGUGGGCAGUUUGACUGGGGUGGUCGCCUCCUAAAAGGUAACGGAGGCGCGCAAAGGUUCCCUCAGGCUGGUUGGAAAUCAGCCGACGAGUGCAAAGGCAGAAGGGAGCUUGACUGUGAGACCAACAAGUCGAACAGGGACGAAAGUCGGCCUUAGUGAUCCGACGGUUCCGAGUGGAAGGGCCGUCGCUCAACGGAUAAAAGUUACUCUAGGAUAACAGGCUGAUCUCCCCCAAGAGUUCACAUCGACGGGGAGGUUUGGCACCUCGAUGUCGGCUCAUCGCAACCUGGGGCUGAAGUCGGUCCCAAGGGUUGGGCUGUUCGCCCAUUAAAGCGGUACGCGAGCUGGGUUCAGAACGUCGUGAGACAGUUCGGUCCAUAUCCGGUGCAUGCGCAGGAACAUUGAGAGGAUUUCUCCCUAGUACGAGAGGACCGGGAGGAACGCACCUCUGGUGUACCAGUUAUCGUGCCAACGGUAAACGCUGGGUAGCCAUGUGCGGAGCGGAUAACCGCUGAAAGCAUCUAAGUGGGAAGCCCACCUCAGGAUGAGUG
rnacentral:rRNA from 1 species